rnacentral:rRNA from 1 species
UACAGAGGGUGCAAGCGUUGUUCGGAAUUAUUGGGCGUAAAGGACGCGUAGGCGGUUGUUUAAGUUAGAUGUGAAAUCCCUGGGCUUAACCUAGGAACUGCAUCUGAUACUGGAUGACUAGAGUACUGUAGAGGGUAGUGGAAUUUCCGGUGUAGCGGUGAAAUGCGUAGAGAUCGGAAGGAACACCAGUGGCGAAGGCGGCUACCUGGACAGAUACUGACGCUGAGGCGCGAGAGCGUGGGGAGCAAACAGG